AGCGAACGCUGGCGGUAUGCUUAACACAUGCAAGUCGAGCGCGAAAGUGACUUCGGUCAUGAGUAGAGCGGCGGACGGUGAGUAACACGUGGAUAAUCUGCCUUUAGGACUGGGAUAACCCUGGGAAACUAGGGCUAAUACCGGAUAAGACCACAGGUUCCAUGGAACCAGGGGUAAAAGGCGGCCUUCGGGCUGUCGCCGAAAGAUGAGUCCGCGUCCCAUCAGGUAGUUGGUGAGGAACGGCUCACCAAGCCGAAGACGGGUAGCCGACCUUAGCGGGUGAUCGGCCACACGGGGACUGAGACACUGCCCCGACUCCUACGGGAGGCAGCAGUGGGGAAGUCUUGGGC
rnacentral:rRNA from 1 species